GAUGAACGCUGGCGGCGUGCCUAAUACAUGCAAGUCGAGCGAACAGAUGAGGAGCUUGCUCCUCUGACGUUAGCGGCGGACGGGUGAGUAACACGUGGAUAACCUACCUAUAAGACUGGGAUAACUUCGGGAAACCGGAGCUAAUACCGGAUAAUAUAUUGAACCGCAUGGUUCAAUAGUGAAAGACGGUUUUGCUGUCACUUAUAGAUGGAUCCGCGCCGCAUUAGCUAGUUGGUAAGGUAACGGCUUACCAAGGCAACGAUGCGUGGCCGACCUGAGAGGGUGAUCGGCCACACUGGAACUGAGACACGGUCCAGACUCCUACGGGAGGCAGCAGUAGGGAAUCUUCCGCAAUGGGCGAAAGCCUGACGGAGCAACGCCGCGUGAGUGAUGAAGGUCUUCGGAUCGUAAAACUCUGUUAUUAGGGAAGAACAAAUGUGUAAGUAACUAUGCACGUCUUGACGGUACCUAAUCAGAAAGCCACGGCCAACUACGUG
rnacentral:rRNA from 1 species